UACAGAGGUCUCAAGCGUUGUUCGGAUUCAUUGGGCGUAAAGGGUGCGUAGGUGGCGUGGUAAGUCGGAUGUGAAAUCCCGGGGCUCAACCCCGGAACUGCAUUCGAUACUGCCAUGCUAGAGUACUGGAGAGGAGAUUGGAAUUUACGGUGUAGCAGUGAAAUGCGUAGAUAUCGUAAGGAAGACCAGUGGCGAAGGCGGAUCUCUGGACAGUUACUGACACUGAGGCACGAAAGGCCAGGGGA
rnacentral:rRNA from 1 species